GUGGGGAAUCUUCCGCAAUGGACGAAAGUCUAACGGAGCAACGCCGCGUGAGUGAAGAAGGUUUUCGGAUCGUAAAGCUCUUUCGUUAGGGACGAACGUGCUCUUUGUGAAUAAUGAGGAGUAAUGACGGUACCUAAAUAAGAAGCCACGGCUAACUACGUGCCAGCAGCCGCGGUAAUACGUAGGUGGCAAGCGUUGUCCGGAAUUAUUGGGCGUAAAGCGCGCGCAGGCGGGAUAUCAAGUCUGUCUUAAAAGUGCGAGGCUCAACCUCGUGAGGGGACAGAAACUGGUAUUCUUGAGUGUCGGAGAGGAAAGUGGAAUUCCAAGUGUAGCGGUGAAAUGCGUAGAGAUUUGGAAGAACACCAGUGGCGAAGGCGACUUUCUGGACGAUGUCUGACGCUGAGGCGCGAAAGCUAGGGGAGCGAACGGGAUUAGAUACCCUUGUAGUCC
rnacentral:rRNA from 1 species